rnacentral:rRNA from 1 species
AAUCAACGCUGGCGGCGUGCCUAACACAUGCAAGUCGAACGAGAAAGUGGGGGCAACUCCAUGAGUAAAGUGGCAGACGGGUGAGUAACACGUGAACAACCUACCCUCGAGUGUGGAAUAACACCGCGAAAGCGGUGCUAAUACCGCAUAACAUCUCUGGAUUGCAUGAUCUGGAGAUCAAAAGCGCAAGUUGCUUGAGGAGGGGUUCGCGCCUGAUUAGCUAGUUGGUGAGGUAACGGCCCACCAAGGCAACGAUCAGUAGCCGGCCUGAGAGGGCGAACGGCCACACUGGAACUGAGACACGGUCCAGACUCCUACGGGAGGCAGCAGUGGGGAAUUUUGCGCAAUGGGCGAAAGCCUGACGCAGCAACGCCGCGUGGAGGAUGAAGGCCUUCGGGUCGUAAACUCCUGUCAGUGGGGAAGAAUGCUUCGCAAGAAGUUUGACUGUACCCAUUGAGGAAGCCACGGCUAACUCCGUGCCAGC